UACGAAGGGGGCUAGCGUUGCUCGGAAUCACUGGGCGUAAAGCGCUCGUAGGCGGGUUGCUAAGUCAGGGGUGAAAUCCUGGAGCUCAACUCCAGAACUGCCCUUGAUACUGGCGGUCUCGAGUCCGGGAGAGGUGAGUGGAACUGCGAGUGUAGAGGUGAAAUUCGUAGAUAUUCGCAAGAACACCAGUGGCGAAGGCGGCUCACUGGCCCGGUACUGACGCUGAGGUGCGAAAGCGUGGGGAGCAAACAGG
rnacentral:rRNA from 1 species